CAUUUGCAAUUGAUAUAUAGUACAAAAUAAUUUUUAGGUUACAGAUGAAAGCCAAGUACGAAAGGCUGUUGAAUAUGCGAAAGAGAAGUGUGGGGGGUUGAACACUGUUGUUAAUUGUGCUGGCAUAGGAAUUGCAAUGAGAAUUUUAGGAAAGGAUGGUAAAGCUCAUCCACUGGACAAAUUCGAAAUGGUUCUUAAGGUUUGUAUUGUGUGCUUACUUAGAUUGAAUUUUUUUAAUAUAAUAUAAUUUUACAUUAAUUCAACGAAAUAGCUUGUUAGAAUAUGUCCCGUUCACACGCAUAUCCGUUUGUAUCCGCAAACAUUUUGUUACAGAUACGCCUUCCGUCAACACGUAUCCGGAGAAAACACACACUUGAAACCGCAAACUUUCGAAAACGGUCUCCAGAGUGGGAACUUUUGAAAACGCAACAAAUCCGGGAUACGUUUGGACCUCAUUGUAACCGGAACGUUUUGAAAAACGAUGACGGCCAGCUCUUCAACCAUUUUAGAAUCGUGUGAUGACAUAAAUAUCGAUAUCGAUUGGACGCGUUGGAAGAACACUUUUCUUUCAAUCGUUUCAGAAUACAUUCCAAAGAAGAAAUUAAAAGGU